rnacentral:rRNA from 1 species
AAUGAACGCUGGCGGCAGGCCUAACACAUGCAAGUCGAGCGAGCGGCGGACGGGUGAGUAAUGUCUGGGAAACUGCCUGAUGGAGGGGGAUAACUACUGGAAAAGGUAGCUAAUACCGCAUACCAUCAGAUGUGCCCAGAGGGGAUUAGCUAGUAGGUGGGGUAAUGGCUCACCUAGGCGACGAUCCCUAGCUGGUCUGAGAGGAUGACCAGGCACACUGUAACUGAGACACGGUCCAGACUCCGGCGGGAGGCAGCAGUGAGGAGUAUAGCACAAUGGGCGCAAGCCUGAUGCAGCCAUGCCGCGUGUGUGAAGAAAGCCUUCGGGUUGUAAAGCACUUUCAGCGGGGAGGCGUUACCCGCAGAAGAAGAACCGGCUAACUCCGUGCCAGCUGCCGCGGUAAUAC